rnacentral:rRNA from 1 species
UACAGAGGUCCCAAGCGUUGUUCGGAUUCAUUGGGCGUAAAGGGUGCGUAGGCGGCGCGGUAAGUCGGGUGUGAAAUCUCGGAGCUUAACUCCGAAACUGCAUUCGAUACUGCCGUGCUUGAGGACUGGAGAGGAGACUGGAAUUUACGGUGUGGCGGUGAAAUGCGUAGAUAUCGUAAGGAAGACCAGUGGCGAAGGCGGGUCUCUGGACAGUUCCUGACACUGAGGCACGAAGGCCAGGGGAGCAAACGGG